GGCGUGUGCAGCACCCCAACCUCCUUUCCCUUCCACAACCCCCUCCCUUUGCUCUCCGCUCCUCAGUUUCGCGGUAAGAAGCUCUUGGAGUCGGGGUUCACCAAACUGGCCAGGGAAAAGUCGAAGGCGAAAGCGACUGUGGGGCGCCCACCCAGCCUCGGACGAGGGUGCAGCGGUCCCUGGUGCAGCGAGCAAGAGGAGACCUCGGGCUUGCAGGGGGCCGAUGCCGAGGAGCAGAGGUGGGGAGCUGGACCCGCGCAGAACCACAGAAAAACGCCACACAGUUGUGCCAAAGACAAACCCUGGGUAUCCUCGCCCGGGGCUGGAGCGCGGGGCGCUGGUGCUCCUCUAACUGGGCGGACGCUGUGCUCCCGCGAGAAGAUUCAAAGUGAUUAAGCAGGAUUGUAAGCACUAUAUGCAACAUUUUGCUGAGAUUUUUCUCUUUCGGUGAUCAUCCAAAUGGAUAUUGAGACUGAUCUCUCCCAAGGCUACAAUCAAGAUGGUGGCUAAGACUAAGGUCUCCUCUGAGGCUCUCCUGGGUCAGGAUCUGCUUCUAAGCUUGG